rnacentral:tRNA from 1 species
GGACAAUUAACUCAGCUGGGAGAGUGUCUCCUUGACGUGGAGGAAGUCACAGGUUCGAGUCCUGUAUUGUCCACCA